rnacentral:rRNA from 1 species
AGAGUUUGAUCCUGGCUCAGGAUGAACGCUGGCGGCGUGCCUAACACAUGCAAGUCGAGCGAUUCUCUUCGGAGAAGAGCGGCGGACGGGUGAGUAACGCGUGGGUAACCUGCCCUGUACACACGGAUAACAUACCGAAAGGUAUGCUAAUACGAGAUAAUAUACUUUUAUCGCAUGGUAGAAGUAUCAAAAGCUCCGGCGGUACAGGAUGGACCCGCGUCUGAUUAGCUAGUUGGUAAGGUAACGGCUUACCAAGGCGACGAUCAGUAGCCGACCUGAGAGGGUGAUCGGCCACAUUGGAACUGAGACACGGUCCAAACUCCUACGGGAGGCAGCAGGUGGGGAAUAUUGCACAAGUGGGCGAAAGCCUGAUGCAGCAACGCCGCGUGAGCGAUGAAGGCCUUCGGGUCGUAAAGCUCUGUCCUCAAGGAAGAUAAUGACGGUACUUGAGGAGGAAGCCCGGCUAACUACGUG